rnacentral:lncRNA from 1 species
CAGAAUUCUUUAUUUACAAUGGUAUUAUUCAACAUUAAAAUUGCAAAUAGCAUCAGCUGAAGCCUUAUUAGUUAACAACUUGCAUAUAUAACUGUGUUUAAACUUCUGUCGGUAUACCUAACUUUUUCAUAAAAUGCUCAACACUAAAUAUUACAAAACGGUGAUGGGUGAGCGAACAAACAGUGUGAUGUUUCUAGCGAACAAUACGGCUGGAAGAAUGCAUCUCAGAGCAGUGGUUAACAACAAAGCUUUCAUUCUCCAGAAAGUCCAUAGAAUAUAUGACAUAUUGCUUCAAUAUCCCAUUGCAUCGUUUUUUUCUCCAUACAAACAGUUCUGUGACGAGGGGAAAUGGAAUUAUGCAAAUACAGCCUUUAACCAAUCACAGAUAUGAGAGAGAGACUGUGACAUCACCACCAACCAAGAUGUGUUGAGCAUUGAUUUAUCACCCAUUUAAUAAUGUACAUUAUCACAAUACAAAUAUAAUACAGACAGCCUUAUAAUAUACAAGAACGGGAACAGACAGUCUAAGGCAAUAUGCUACAUUAUUAGCAUUAAGGUUCUUGCAUUUUAGCGCUAAGAAAAUUAGCAGACUAUACAAAAACAGGACAUAUAAAAAAAAAAAUCUAAAAAAAAAAUUAAAGUUAAAUAGAGGAAUUAUUUCGUAAAUUGUUUUAAAUUCAAAUUUUUUUUUUGUGGCAAAUAGUUUGUUUGCUCCAAGUACUGAUACAAAUUCUUUCAAAAAAAAUGCAUUACCUCAUGGCUUGUAUUCAUUUUAAAAUCUUAACAAAUCUUUGGAAAUUUGCAAAGGGGCGAGGGUAGUGAUUUGUUUUGACAUCCAGCUUUCAUCAAAAGUGUGAUCGAUAAAUUGUGAUAAAUCGUACACCAAAACAAUGUGAAUGCGCACCCUCCUCUGAGAGACAGAGCCCCAUACCAUAGAAUUACAGAUUAACAUAUGGAAUCACUAAACGUUAGCAGCCCUAUGCUCCAAAGUGCUAUUUAUUGUACCUCAGUGUCCAAAAAGGGACUGCUAGGACAAAGUACAGUAUUCCCGAAAUGUUUUCAGCGUAGAAAUACUGAUCUAUCAUCAGGUCCCCCCGUCCUUUGUCCAUUCAUUAUAAUGUAAAGACGAAACUGACCUUUGAUCAGCUUUCUCCAUGCCAAUCCUAGCAGUUACCAUUAGGGAAGUACACAUAAAAACUGUUCUCAGACCUGGGCUUAUGUGUAACUUAAUCCAUCAGGUUUGGGGCAGUUGUAGACCUAACAAUCCAGUGAGAACAGUCUUUUACAGCUUCUCCAAGUGGUGGGUUGCAUUCCAAAGGGGCUUCAUUACAUAAAUAGAGGACAACUUUUGACCAAGGCCCAUAGGGCUCUAUAUAAGGAAUUAGGAUAUCAGCUGAGGUGCAGCCCAGCACUUUUACAGCCUCUUCUGAUCUGAGGUCAGCCAUGACAAUACAUUCAAUUUAUCUCAGACCCUCAUCAAAUACAUGUAUUAUGCUGUACACACACACACACACACACACACACACACACACACACACACACACACACACACACACACACACACACACACACACACACACACAGCGAAGAGGGCGUUGCAUGUUUCUCUGAGGGUGAUGGACUAUCACACUGUCUGGGCUGCUAAUAGGCUCUUUAUCCGAAGCAGAUUUAACAGUUUGAGGGCCUGUUUCACUGAUGAAACAUAAGUAAGUCCGCCUCUGUCCUUCAUUUUGUAAUGAAAGGCUGGUAGAAUUCAUAACCCAAUUUACAAGGCAUGGGAUAUUUGGCUUGUUGUCCAUGGUAAUGUCUAGCUUAACAUCGUUAGAAAUAGCAACGUUGCUAGCAUGAGCGCCCGUCUGUUUGUGCCAUCAUGCCAACUCCUUGUCACUAAUUGUCAUGACAACACUGAGUUGCCAUUGGCAGCAGCGGAACAAGAACACAAAUAUACGAGACCAGGCUACAACAUUUCAGGAUUAGAGGAUGUCGUUUUGAGAUCGGAAUGUGACUUUGAUGCAACAAUGGCGCUAAAACCACUAUACCAGUUAAAGGGACGAGGGAAUAUGAUGUCACCAUCCCCCAUUACAGGGGACGAGGGAAUAUGAUGUCACCAUCCCCCAUUACAGGGGACGAGGGAAUAUGAUGUCACCAUCCCCCAUUACAGGGGACGAGGGAAUAUGACGUCAUUAUAACCGUUACAGGGGCGAGGGAAUAUGAUGUCAUUAUAACCGUUACAGGGGCGAGGGAAUAUGAUGUCAUUAUAACCGUUACAGGGGCGAGGGAAUAUGACAUCAUUAUACCCGUUACAGGGGCGAGGGAAUAUGACAUCAUUAUAACCGUUACAGGGGCGAGGGAAUAUGACAUCAUUAUACCCGUUACAGGGGCGAGGGAAUAUGACAUCAUUAUACCCGUUACAGGGGCGAGGGAAUAUGACAUCAUUAUACCCGUUACAGGGGCGAGGGAAUAUGACAUCAUUAUACCCGUUACAGGGGCGAGGGAAUAUGAUGUCAUUGUAAAUGGAUCUGUUUAUUAUAGUUUUACUGCCUGAGGUCAAAGUUCAAACACUAUGGCUAAUUCACUGUCUGUCUGUCAGGGCAGGGUGGCAGAGCAAGCUCCUGAUACAAUACUUUAACAUGCAUUCUUCCUUUCCCUUUCUCUGCUCCUAGCACCGUGCUCCUAGCGCUCCUAGCACCGUGCUCCUAGCGUUCCUAGCACCCCUAGCACCGCGCUCCUAGCACCGUGCUCCUAGUGCUCCUAGCACCAUGCUCCUAGCACCGUGCUCCUAGCGCUCCUAGCACCGUGCUCCUAGCGCUCCUAGCACCCCUAGCACCGUGCUCCUAGCACCGUGCUCCUAGUGCUCCUAGCACCGUGCUCCUAGCGCUCCUAGCGCUCCUAGCACCGUGCUCCUAGUGCUCCUAGCGCUCCUAGCACCGUGCUCCUAGCGCUCCUAGCACCGUGCUCCUAGCGCUCCUAGCACCGUGCUCCUAGCGCUCCUAGCACCGUGCUCCUAGCGCUCCUAGCACCGUGCUCCUAGCGCUCCUAGCACCGUGCUCCUAGCGCUCCUAGCACCGUGCUCCUAGCGCUCCUAGCACCGUGCUCCUAGCGCUCCUAGCACCGUGCUCCUAGCGCUCCUAGCACCGUGCUCCUAGUGCUCCUAGCACCGUGCUCCAACCUCCAGCCAUCUGAACCACAUAGUUGAUUCUGUGGACUCCAUCCAGUAUUACCUAUAUAGAACACCACUUCUGACCAGAUCCCUACUGGCCCCAGACAAAAAUACUGCACAAUAAAGGGCAUAGGGUGCCAUUUGGGACACAGCCCAUUACAUGUGUGUCACUUAUCCAGUCAUGGCAUACCAAGUGACUACUUAAAGGAAGGAAGAAUUGGAUGAGGGCCCAAUAGGUCUCUGCUCUAUCCUCGACUAGAAACCCGUGGUCAGAGAGGGAAUGGCUGCAUCCCAAAAGGCACACAGGAUCCAGAGAGACUGGACAACAUACCAGUUACUGUUGGGGCGGGGGGAAUAUGAUGCCAUAGGGCUCUGGUCAAAAGUAGUGCACUAUGUAGGGAAUAGUGUGCCAUUUUAUGAUGCAUCCUAUCUGUUAAUAUGAGGGUUAAUAUCCAGGGUUCAGCACCACACUCCCUCCCUGCCGUCUCUAAACCCAUGACAGCGCCGCUGCAUAAUCUGAGAGGAACGUUUAAUCUGGAUUAGAGUUUUUUUCAAUACAAACCAGUAAAAGAAAAAGUAGCUGUUUUUUUAAUACUGAGUCUGACGGAGCAUAACAUGUCCAGGAAAAAAAAAUAGAUUCUUAGUACUCGUUAUUGCUUGUUUACUUACAUCACACUGACAGACCAGAGCGGUUUGUACCUAGCAGCUUGUAUGAAGCACCAAGACUCCAAUCAACAUCGAAAGCACACUUGUUCCAUUUGAUAGUUUUGUUGAGUUAUAUAACUGUAUGGCUGUUGUUGAGUUUUGUCCCGUCUUUCUAUCAUGGUGCUAGCUAUACGCUCAAGGCUGAGAUGCAAGCGAUAAUCUGUACACUGUAUAUACAGCCCGCCCUCGGCCUACACCCACCCACUAGAGCCCGGACAGAGAUAAACCCACCCACUCCUGUAUCAUACCGGUCUGACUCUCCUCUUCUCAAACAAACUUAUAGCGGAUGGUAGUCCAGACCAGACAGGGAGAAAACACACAAUAAAUAGGAAAGGAAACUCUGUUGUUAACUUGUAUGUACAAUCUGUCUGUAUUUGGUUUUCUUGAACCGCAUGAUAUAAUUUCAUUAAGUUCUGAUGAAACUACGGGGACCAAAAGUUAAAUCCAUAAUAUUUCAAAUUGAUAGAAUAUGACAGAAGGUCCAUUUUUACGCAGUUUUUCCACCACUUUUUUUUACAAAUAAUCAUCUUGUUUGCUGCGAUAAUAAAUCGAAAAUAACUUACCAAAAAAAAAUCUAUACAGAAAAAUACAACUUAAUUUAAUACACUAUAACCCUUUGGACUAAAUUUGUCUAAUUAUAAUACAAAGCAUUAUUUUCAAAUCAAACCAUUCAUCUACUGUGCUUUUCAAGAUCGGUUUUCAAAACCAUUUCUCGUCAGCCACCCUCAUCAUCAUUAGGAAAACCAAAAAAAGGCAAAAAAAGUCUGAAAGUCGUUAGCUGUUCCGCUCCCUCCCUCCGCUGUUCCGCUCCCUCCCUCCGCUGUUCUGCUCCCUCCCUCCGCUGUUCUGCUCCCUCCCUCCGCUGUUCUGCUCCCUCCCUCCGCUGUUCUGCUCCCUCCCUCCGCUGUUCUGCUCCCUCCCUCCGCUGUUCUGCUCCCUCCCUCCGCUGUUCUGCUCCCUCCCUCCGCUGUUCUGCUCCCUCCCUCCGCUGUUCUGCUCCCUCCCUCCGCUGUCCUCCAGGAUCUAAAACGUAACAUUGGAGUCAGUUUGCUGCCAUCGUGGAACGCAGAAAACGGUAGAAGGUAGAACGUGUUAGAACGUGAGAGGAACCCGAAGAAGAGGGGGAAUCAAGCGAGGUGAAAAAAAUAAUAAUAAUAAAAACUGUUGACAUUUUCUUGAGAUGAGAUUGCAAAAAUGGCAGCUGACCACAGAGGAAUUAAAUUCAUCUGAGGAGGAUCCCACCGCUGCCAUCAGUAGUCAGUCAACCCAGAGGGGCCUCUAUGGGGCCUCCAGGCAAAGGGCGAGGGGCCUACUGUCAAUCACCCAGAGGGGGAGGGGCCUUUCUGAAGAGGGAGGGGCCUAUAGUCAUACAGUAGAGUGGGAGUGGGCCUACAGUAACUCUGCGUCAAUAACCAAGUGGGAAAGUGGUAUUUACCACAUACGACUGGGGAAAAUCCUCUUGAACGCCCCUCAAACUGGCGGUAAACUAACUAGUGGUAAACUAACUAGUGGUAAACUAACUAGUGGUAAACUAACCAGUGGUAAACUAACUAGUGGUAAACUCAUCCAUCAUCCCUGAGCUCCUACUUCUCCCACACGCUGACCUCUGAUGUCACCUACUAAGGAAACGAUCUCGAUAACAGCAUUUUUUUAUGGCAGUUAAAUGCAACAAAACAUUAUUUAUAAAAAGAAAUCUAUUAAAAAAGGUUUUUGAACACUAUAAUUUGUUUUAAAAAGCUGUACUUUUUAGUUGAUGGUUUGACGCAGCUUGUUAGCCAUUAGCCAAUCAGCAUUUCUCAACGAGAAACUGGUAUGUCCACCUUUCCACUUAGUUAUGAAUGUAGCAUUAGUCACACUAAGGGGGAAUGCAGACUGGACAGACAGAGACUGGUUCACGGGUUCUCCUUCAGAGAGGCGUUAGGUGUUCAAGGCUCGCCUCCCUAAACUCUGUGUAGUGCGGUACUUUCGACCAGGGCCCUGGCUCUGGUCAAAAGUAGUGCAUUACGUAGGGAAUAGGGCGCCAUUUGGGAUGAAUCCAAUAGAAGUCCCAUCUUUUCUCUAUCCCCCACUCCCCUCUUCACCCCUGGGUACUCCCCCUUCACCCCUGGGUACUGCCCCCCCCC